rnacentral:rRNA from 1 species
GACGAACGCUGGCGGCGUGCUUAACACAUGCAAGUCGAACGGAAAGGCCCUGCUUUUGUGCGUUUCUCGAGUGGCGCACGCGUGAGUAACACGUGAGUAACCUGCCCUUGUCUUUGUGGUAUCUUCAGGAAACUGGGGCUAAUACCCCGUAUGAUCUCCUGCUGCAUGGUGGUCGUUGGUAAGUUUCGGCGGUUGGGGAUGGUCUCGCGGCUUAUCCGCUUGUUGGUGGGGUAGUGGUUGACCAAGGCUUUGACGGGUAGCCGGCCUGAGAGGGUGAACGGGGACAAUGGGACUGAGAUACGGAGCAGUAUGCAACGGGACGCAGCAGGGGGGAACAUUGCACAACGGGGGGAAGCCAGAUGUAGAAACGCUGGGAGCGGGAUGCUGGGCUAUGGGGUGAAAACAGAUGUCGCAGGAGACGAAGAGUGCGUGACGGUAAUGGGUAAAAAAGCAACGGCUAACUACGUG